AGUGAACGCUGGCGGCGUGCUUAACACAUGCAAGUCGAACGAGAACGGAAUAUAGCUUGCUAUAUUUGUCAGCUAAGUGGCGCACGGGUGAGUAAUGUAUAGAUAACCUGCCCUUAAGAAAGGAAUAACAGUUGGAAACGACUGCUAAUGCCCUAUAUGCCUUUAAUACAUAAGUAUGCAAGGGAAACGCUUUAGUGCUUAAGGAUGGGUCUGUAUGGUAUCAGCUUGUUGGUGAGGUAAUGGCUCACCAAGGCUAUGACGCCUAACUGGUUUGAGAGGAUGGUCAGUCACACUGGAACUGAGACACGGUCCAGACUCCUACGGGAGGCAGCAGUGGGGAAUAUUGCACAAUGGACGAAAGUCUGAUGCAGCAACGCCGCGUGGAGGAUGACACAUUUCGGUGCGUAAACUCCUUUUAUAUAGGAAGAUAAUGACGGUACUAUAUGAAUAAGCACCGGCUAACUACGUGCCAGCAGCCGCGGUAA
rnacentral:rRNA from 1 species